AUGCUGCUGCUGGAGAUGGUCCUCUUCUCUGGCCUAUGGGCAUGUGGACUUGGGCAGGUGGAACAACCUGAAAUGUCAAUUUCCAGAGCAACCGACGAGAGUGUCCAAAUACCAUGUAAGGUGUCCCUCCAAAACUUUGAAAGUGCAGUUGUACACUGGUACCGGCAGAAACCAAAUCAAGGUUUAGAACACCUAAUUUACAUUUCGACAACCACUGCUCAAGGUCACUUAGGUGGGAAGAGGAACAAACUCGAGGCAAGUAAAAAUUCUCGUACUUCCACUGCGACCUUGAAAAUACAUUUCUUAGAGAAAGAAGAUGAGGCCAUAUAUUACUGUGCCUGUUGGGUUAAGCACAGUAAUGUCUGGAUCAAGAUAUUUGGAGAUGGCACUAAGCUCACAGUAACACCUCCCGGUAAAACCCCUGCUGGAGACAUUUUCCCCAAGCCCACUAUUUUUCUUCCGUCAAUUGCUGAAACAAACCUCCAUAAGGCUGGAACACAUCUUUGUUUUCUUGAGAAUUUUUUCCCUGACGUUAUUAAAGUGUAUUGGAAAGAAAAAAAUGGCAAUACAAUUCUGGAAUCUCAGCAGGGAAAUACCAUGAAGACUAACAACACGUACAUGAAAUUGAGCUGGCUGACAGUGACUGAAAAGUCACUAGAUAAAGAACACAAAUGCAUCGUCAAACACGUGAAUAAUAAAGGAGGAGUUGAUCAAGAGAUUCUGUUUCCUGCAACAAACAAAGUGGAGGUAACAUCUCGUCCCACCAAAGCUGAACAACUUUUCUCAGAAGCACUGGGGCAGCAGCUCACCAGCACCUCUGCCUACUACACCUACCUGCUCCUGCUCCUCAACAGCGUGGUCUACUUUGCCUUUGCCGCCUUCUGUCUGUUUAGAAGAACAGCUGUCUGUGGUGAUGGGAAGAGUUCCUAA